AUUGAACGCUGGCGGCAUGCUUUACACAUGCAAGUCGUACGGCAGCGCGGGCUUCGGCCUGGCGGCGAGUGGCGAACGGGUGAGUAAUGCAUCGGAACGUGCCCAGUAGUGGGGGAUAGCCCGGCGAAAGCCGGAUUAAUACCGCAUACGACCUGAGGGUGAAAGCGGGGGACCGAAAGGCCUCGCGCUAUUGGAGCGGCCGAUGUCGGAUUAGCUAGUUGGUGGGGUAAAGGCUUACCAAGGCGACGAUCCGUAGCUGGUCUGAGAGGACGACCAGCCACACUGGGACUGAGACACGGCCCAGACUCCUACGGGAGGCAGCAGUGGGGAAUUUUGGACAAUGGGGGCAACCCUGAUCCAGCCAUGCCGCGUGCGGGAAGAAGGCCUUCGGGUUGUAAACCGCUUUUGUUCGGGAAGAAAUCCUCUGGGCUAAUACCCCGGGGGGAUGACGGUACCGGAAGAAUAAGCACCGGCUAACUACGU
rnacentral:rRNA from 1 species